ACAUACGACCAUACCCACUGGAGAACUCGGGAUCCCGUCCGCUCUCCCAUAGAUAAGCCAGUGAGGGCUGGAGUAGUAGUCGGGUCGGUGACGACCGGCGAAUGCCCGGUGCUGUAUGUU
rfam:Colletotrichum gloeosporioides Nara gc5 unplaced genomic scaffold scaffold88, whole genome shotgun sequence.